GCGAGUUCAGCUCUCUAAAACCAUUGCCAAAGGCCCUGCAAAGGUUGCUUCGGCGGGGGGUUCGAAAGGACACCAGCCGGCAGUACCAAACUCUGCAACGAUUGUAAUCUCUGAGUAAACAUUCAAUAAGUUA
rnacentral:misc_RNA from 1 species